AUAACAAUAUAGGACUUUUUAGAGACCCUGUAAUUGUAAUGAGUCCACUUGAAAUCCUUUAACUCUGAUCAAUUGGAGGGCAAGUCUUGUGCAGUGUGACUGACCCGUGUGUGCUGCAGCUGAAACUCCAC